AGUCUUACAUGUGGGACCUCCCACCAUCUGUCUCCCCACCCCAAUCAUCUCUCCCGUGUCUUCCUGCACUCCCCAGUCCCCUCCGCCAUAGCAGCGCACCAGCACAUCGCCCCGCAGUAUUCGCCUGCCUCCCCACACCACGCCGCCCCUCCGGCCUCCGCCCUGGCCGCGGGCCAGCACCUCGCCCCGGCAUAUUCGCCGGCCUCCUCUCACAGCGCCUCCCCUCUUCCCUAGCCAACCCAGCACGCUCUGCCCCCUCCUCUCAUGCGGCUGGCCCGCCACAGAUCCUCCAGGCACCCUUCGUUGCAGUCGACGACCAAGACGAAGUAGCGAGCAGCGAGGGGAUAAAGGAGGCCGCCGGGGCCGGCGAAUUGUUGUGCAGUGGGUGCGGAUGGAUCAGGCUGGGGCUCCUUGCCCCUUGUCUUUCUCAUUCGUGGAGGAAGACGCAGCCACGGAGCCUGCUCGCCUCCACCACCACCACCGGCGCAAUUGAGUUCGCCGCGGCCGCCCACGCCAAUGAAAUCUUCUCCACCGAGGGGCAUAAAGAGAGCUGUACAAAAAUAAUAUUCAGGUCACCAUCCCAGCUGAGCUUCGGAGUCUCAAGAGCCUUAUUAGCUUGGACUUCUAUAACAGCUAUACAUAUGUCGUCUAUCCAUGUUGUGAUACAAGACCAGAAUCAAUAUGUUGCAUACACACAGAAAUAGAUUCAUAAAUUGGAAGCAAGCAUCUGAUCUUUCUUUGUUUUGGGAAUCUGGUGUUGUCUGCCUUUUUCAAUUCAGAUCAGAUGCUAUAUGUGAUUAAUUUUGUUGUGCCAUGAUUAAUUUAAUAUGAUGGGCUCAGUCUCAGCCUGUGCAUCAGCAAGAUUACUUGCUCCUAACGUAAUCAUUCAAUGUGUUGAGAAAACAUGAUGGAUCAACUUGAGAAUGAGUGAGAAGAGAUUAAGAAAAAAAACAAAUAUCAUGAAAAAUAAAACCUAAUGAGGAAUAAUAUUUAGAAUAACUUGUUAGAUUUUUUUUCUUACUUAUCCAAUGCACGCAAAGGUUAGUACAGGCAAGUUUGUUCUGUCAAUAGCAUUUUUUGAACCUAGGAUUGAUAUUAAAUUUCAGAUAUCACUUGUUAGUGGUGUUAUAAUUACUGGACGAUAGCUGCCUGUUUUGUGUUUUCUAUUUUUGCAACUUUAUGGUUCCAUAAACAAAAUCAUGGACUAACUCCCUUUUGCGACAUGGGUAGGGUUACAACAGUCUAUUGUUCACAUCGGUAAACAUGUUCGAGAAAGGAGAAAGCUCAAAAGGAUGAAAGCGUCCUCGUGGUUCUGGUCGCUCUGCUGGCCUCACACUAGAAAAAAGACAAGCAAGGCGGAACCAUGAUAAAAAGCACCGUCAAAGUUUGACACUCGAGGCUAGGGAAGAGAUAAAUGCUCGCAGAAGAGCGCACACGGAAAGUUUAACACUUGAAGAGAGGCAGGCUGCUAAUGCCCGCCGAACAGCGGCUAGGCAAAACUUGCCAAUUGAGGAGAGAGAAGAGGCCAAUGCUCAUCGCAGGGCUGCUACGAAAAACAUAUAACCUUAGGCAAGGCAGGCACUACCAGAUUAUCGUAAGGCAAGCUACGCAGCUAGGCGAGACACUCUGUGCACGGAGUUCUUAACUAGAACACUGUCUGCAUACUACAACCUUUAGUAGGGUGCACUUUGGUUCAGAUGUUGAUGUUGCACGUCAGAUGAAAAAGAGGAUCAACAAUGACCUUAGCUCCAUGGAUCCGCGUUAAGUCGGCAUGAACAGUGGUUGGAUCCUUUUGCAGUCACCUUUUAAGCUAGGACACUAGGAGAAGCCUUGGGGAAAAAGAACACACAUCUGUGUGCAUCGAUGAAAAUGAACAUUUUGCAACCACCUUUCGAUGCUUAAAUGUUUUUAUUUGUUAUUAUGGCAUGUUAGCACUACUUGUGGCCUGAACUAUGUUAUGGUGGACUGGAAAAUAUUGUCGUUGUGAUGGAUGAAAAUGUAUUAAUUCUACCUUGUCACAAGUUAUGAUAUUUGUGACCUGAAUCGUGUUGUGUUCCUCGUGAA